UUUUUUUGGAAUAUUUAUAUGACAUAACCUAAAAUUAAAAUAAAAUAAUUGGUAAACUUAAGUUUUAUGAUUUUUAUUUGUAUGAAAUAAUCUAAUAAUAAUAAUGAAAAAUAACUAAAUGAAAUUAUUUUUAAAAUUUGUAUAAGUUAAUCUAAAAUACAAGAAAAUAUAUGGAAAACUAUUUUUGUGAUUUUAUUAUUAUGAUUUCUAUGUGUUUAUUUAUUUAUUUUUAUUUUAAAAGAUAUAACAAAAGAGAACUUCUAAAC
rnacentral:lncRNA from 1 species